rnacentral:rRNA from 1 species
GUCUAUGGCCAUACCACCCUGAACGUGCCUGAUCUUGGAAGCUAAGCAGAAUCAGGCCUGGUUAUUACUUGGAUGGGAGAAAAUUCAGGGUUUUGGUGGGGGCAGAGGCCAAGAGACCAGACU